rnacentral:lncRNA from 1 species
GGGAUCUGUUCAUUUCUCAGUGAGGGAUCUGUUCAUUUCUGUGAGGGAUCUGUUCAUUUCUCAGUGAGGGAUCUGUUCAUUUCUCAGUGAGGGAUCUGUUCAUUUCUCAGUGAGGGAUCUGUUCAUUUCUGUGAGGGAUCUGUUCAUUUCUGUGAGGGGAUCUGUUCAUUUCUCAGUGAGGGGAUCUGUUCAUUUCUCAGUGAGGGAUCUGUUCAUUUCUGUGAGGGCUCUGUUCAUUUCUCAGUGAGGGCUCUGUUCAUUUCUNGAUAAUCCCUGCCCUGGAGGGAGAUGGAAUCAUCCCCCAGGUGAGACAGGGACCAAACCCGGGAUAAUCCCUGAUCUAGAGCAGGCUGGAAUCAUCCCCCAGGUGAGACAGGGACCAAACCCGGGGUAAUCCAUGCCCUGGAGGGAGAUGGAAUCGUCCCCCAGGUGAGACAGGGACCAAACCCAGGGUAAUUCC